rnacentral:lncRNA from 1 species
CGGGAUUUGUCUCCAGAGUUUUUGGGAAUCGCUCUGGUCGUGUGCCGCAGCACCGGCUGCGUUUCGCUGAUGAGCGGAGAGCUCCUCGUGUACUUUGCACAGCCAAUUAGCAAAGUAAUUGAGAACUCCUCGGGAUGAAAGGUGCAACACACACACGAUUAUUCACCAUUUUCAUUACAUGCCGUAUCCGGGAAGCUGCUGGAAUGGAAUGCAGCGAGGCACUCCGUGAUGAGCUUCCAGGUGGUUGUGAUCCUUGGAAAACUGCUUGGAAGUGGAUUCACCUCAGUCCUUCCCAGCUGUGAGGA